rnacentral:rRNA from 1 species
UACGGGGGGGGCAAGCGUUGUUCGGAAUUACUGGGCGUAAAGGGCUCGUAGGCGGCCAACUAAGUCGGAUGUGAAAUCCCCAGGCUUAACUUGGGAACUGCAUCCGAUACUGGAUGGCUUGAAUCCGGGAGAGGGAUGCGGAAUUCCAGGUGUAGCGGUGAAAUGCGUAGAUAUCUGGAGGAACACCGGUGGCGAAGGCGGCAUCCUGGACCGGCAUUGACGCUGAGACGCGAAAGCGUGGGGAGCAAACAGG